rnacentral:rRNA from 1 species
UGGGGAAUAUUGGACAAUGGGCGCAAGCCUGAUCCAGCUAUGCCGCGUGAGUGAUGAAGGCCCUAGGGUUGUAAAGCUCUUUCACCGGUGAAGAUAAUGACGGUAACCGGAGAAGAAGCCCCGGCUAACUUCGUGCCAGCAGCCGCGGUAAUACGAAGGGGGCUAGCGUUGUUCGGAUUUACUGGGCGUAAAGCGCACGUAGGCGGACUUUUAAGUCAGGGGUGAAAUCCCGGGGCUCAACCCCGGAACUGCCUUUGAUACUGGAAGUCUUGAGUAUGGUAGAGGUGAGUGGAAUUCCGAGUGUAGAGGUGAAAUUCGUAGAUAUUCGGAGGAACACCAGUGGCGAAGGCGGCUCACUGGACCAUUACUGACGCUGAGGUGCGAAAGCGUGGGGAGCAAACAGG